ensembl:lncRNA
CUCCACCCUGCAGCUGAGAAGCCUGCAUUCACACCACACAUCUGCAGGGAACCUGGUGUCCCCUGCUGACCCCUCGUGAGAUCAACCCUCUGCCUCUGGUAACGGUGAUUUCACAGCAGAGAUUGGGAUACGGACUUUUCAAGUGUCCUGCUUGGGACGUGAGUCAUCACCCCGGCUCCCUGGUGGUCGCCAGCGUCCAUCACCUCCUGCGAGAAGGUGGGCCUCGCUGCCCACGGGCUCGGGUCUGUUCCCUGAGGCCAGUUCUCCACAGGCUUUGGCUCCCGGCUUGCCUGCUGACCACGGCGGACUUCAGCUUGGACGCCCAACACCAGAGCUCGGUCCUCGUUUCGCUGACUCACCUCCUGCUUCCGUGAAACUUCACUGGAGGGAGAUGUGCUGCUAAGUAUACUAGGACAGGGGUCCACGCCACGGGCACGUAGGGGUCAGGCGGGGAGUCACCGGCGGGCCUUGCUGCCCAACCCACGACCAUUCCUGGACAGUCAGGGGUCAGGCGGGAGCCACGGGCGGGCCACGCUGCCCAACCCACGACCAUUCCUGGACAGUCAGGGGUCAGGUGGGGAGCCACCGGCGGGCCACGUGCCUAACCCACGACCAUUCCUGGACAGUCAGGGGUCAGGUGGGGAGCCACGGGCAGGCCACGCUGCCCAACCCACGACCAUUCCUGGACAGUCAGGAGUGCCGUGGUAGCGUCUGCUGCGCUGGAGUUCCCAGGCCAGGGGGACGCAGAAGGUGAAGGCCGCCGCGGAUCUGCUCUGGCUCGGGGAGCAGCUGGCUCCGUGGGAGCAGGGCAGGUUCUGCCUUCCCUCCUGGCAGGGUCCGUGCCUGGCUGUCCCCCUCUUGAGAUAACAAGUUUGGAGGAAAGGCAGGCUGAGUUCGUGCCUGCUCUUCCGCCUUCGCUAGCGCUGGGCAUGUCCCUGAAUCUCUGUGAGGAUGACAGACGGCAACCCAGGCUUUCCAGGACCCAGAGCAUUGGGGAAGCAGGGUCCAGCACACUCCCUCGCCUGUCCUCACCUCUGGGGUCCCCGGGGCCUGUCCCCUUGCAGGGGUUUUCUCUCUGGUUGAAGUGUUGGACGAUUUUAACAUACUUCCAUUUAAAAUGAGCAAGUUUAGGGUGGAAAAUGGAUGUGGCUGACAGUAAUAUCCAUACUCUGCCAGGAAACUUCGCUGGGGCCUGGCAUCCCCCCGGGACACGUGUGUCAGGAGAAUGGAGGCACACGCGGCCCACAGGAAUCCCCCAACCCCUCCCCCAAAGGAGCUCCGCAGGCGAGCAGCCCGCCAAGGCAGGCGGCUACUGUUCCAUCAUCCCCCCCCACAUCACGUCUACGGUCCCGACCUGGGACGGGGAGGAGGACAUCCACUACGUAAAAGCAGAGAGCAGAAAGCCCGGGGAACGACCCCCUGGCCCAGCAGCUCCUCUCCCAGCUGAACUGGGAGAACUGAGAACGAGGCCCCAGACACACACACACACCCACGCACGUGCACAGCAGCUGCGCACAGGACAGAGGUGGAAAGAAGUACCCACAGCGGGCGACACACGGCGAGCUGCACCCACGCUGGGUGGGGGCUCGGCCGGAAGGAGCGCAGCACCAACACAUCCACAGCCACGAACCCCGAAAACACGGCGCUCCGUGAAGCAAGCCAGAGCUCAAGGCCCACGGGACAGAGCAACUCCCCCACGGCGUGAAAGAGCGGAUCUGUGUCUCUGUGAGAAUCGCCUCAGACAGAACAGAGCAGAAGUUCGCCUGCACCCCCCCGACCCCAGACGAAGACGACCCACCUGGCAAGCCACCUUGACCAUAAACUUCCUCCUGGUCUUAACCAGCGACAUCUCUC